UGGGGAAUAUUGCACAAUGGAGGGAACUCUGAUGCAGCGACGCCGCGUGAACGAAGAAGGCUUUCGAGUCGUAAAGUUCUUUUAUAUGGGAAGAUAAUGACGGUACCAUAAGAAAAAGCCCCGGCUAACUACGUGCCAGCAGCCGCGGUAAUACGUAGGGGGCUAGCGUUGUCCGGAAUCACUGGGCGUAAAGGGUUCGCAGGCGGAAAUGCAAGUCAGGUGUAAAAUGCAGUAGCUUAACUACUGUAAGCAUUUGAAACUGCAUAUCUUGAGAAGAGUAGAGGUAAGUGGAAUUUUUAGUGUAGCGGUGAAAUACGUAGAUAUUAAAAAGAAUACCGGUGGCGAGGGCGACUUACUGGGCUCAUUCUGACGCUGAGGAACGAAAGCGUGGGUAGCAAACAGG
rnacentral:rRNA from 1 species